CUCCCCCUCACGCUGUUCUCCUCCCUCGCAUAUCGCUGUUCUCCCCCCUCCUUGCGCCGACAUGACCAUCAUCGUCAAAUUGGUUGGAUUGACAAGCUAUUCCGGCGCCGGCGUUCAGGUUCAUACGGACUAGUAGAUUUGGGGAGUGGCUUAGGGUAUGGCAUGAUUGCUUUCUCUUUGUUCAGUUCCUUGGGCUCCUGGUGGUUCUAAAGUUUUCCGAAACCCAGCACCACCUUCUGGAUCAAGGCGAAGGGGAAGGACCCCGACAAUUUAGAGAUUUGGAUAUCCAGUUGGAUACAAGCCAAGGGAGCAGACAAUUAACAAACCGAAGAUAUAUUGACAUAUUUGCAGAAUGAGCUAAACAAGAUUCCCUCGGAAGGGCGGACUCCGGCUGUUCGAGAGACUCUUUACUGACGGGCUAUUGGGGGAAAGAGCAAAAAGCGCUCAAAGGUUUACAGUGCCACGAGUUCAGCUCAUCCCCGUAAUGAUGCAACUGAUUUAACAAAUAAUGUAGCAUUCCAGCAAGGGUGGGAAGAAAUGUAGAGCGGAUUUGCAGAGUUGAAGACAACGAUGGCUGAGUUCAAAACCAUCAAGGCUGAUGUGCCACAGCUCGUGUUGAUACGGUCUCUGAAUUCUCAAGCCUGUGUCCGAAUCACCUAUGAUGGUUGGCACCCGUAUGCUUAUAUUAUCUCGUACCGGAGAGAAGAAAGUUGUUGCUGAGGGACUUCUGCUCUGCCCCCCUGCACCAGGUGACACACUUUCGUUGGUCAAGGUGUUCGUUACAUCUGCCUCAGUACCGGACACACCCCUUAUUUUGACGACAAUUGCUGGGGCGACUACUUUUCGGGUGGUUGUCAGUGAAGAUCCUAUUGAGUGGAACUAUAAGGACCUCAUGCACCACCCCUGAAGCAUAUCGACCGAUUCCUUUAUGUUUUGUCUCUGUUUGCCUUAUCAAUUGCAUGUCGUAGAUGUGCUUGGAUGGUAGGUUUUAAUGGCUAUGUGAAAUACAUAUGGAAUAUAUGCAUAGACAUUUAGAGUUAUUUUUUGUGUGGUGAGAAUUGUUGCUAUGGAUUGAUAGAUUUCCCCACUUGCUUAUUACUAGGUUGGAUGUUUGAAAUGGUUGCAUUUUGCGGAACAUAAUGUCGAAGCGGAGAUGUUGCUAGGCUUGUUUGAUGGGUUACUUUAUUUUGUUGCUUGGUGUUGGACAUCGACUAGUAAAUACUG